CCGGGGAGGCGGGACGACACCGACGGCCGGGGCAGCCCGGGUCGCCUGAUCUCCGCGGAUCACGACAGAGAAUCGCAAGUGGAUCACUAUCCUGACCGAUAGUCAAGUCAUUGGCUCUUGUUACGAGAAGUGGCUACGCGGUAGUCAGCAAUCAUCUGGUCAGCAGAAGAAAAUGGCUAUAAUUGAAUCAUGCUGCUGUAAUUGCUUUUCGGUGCGGUCUGGCAGCUUCUGCGUGGCAUUUUACACUUCGAUCUACUUCACCAUGACGCUUCUCACAGCCACCCUGACGUUACUGAUUCCCGACUCUGAGACAUUGGUGGUGGCCGCGGGAGGGGGGCCCUCACUGCCCGCGGCAGACGCGGAGCGCCGGUCACCUGUAGAAACAGCUCCGGGACAGCCGGCACCGUCACGGCCACCGACCGGAGAGUCAAUCU